GACGAACGCUGGCGGCGUGCUUAACACAUGCAAGUCGAACGCUGAAGCUCAGCUUUUGUUGGGUGGAUGAGUGGCGAACGGGUGAGUAACACGUGAGUAACCUGCCCUCUUCUUUGGGAUAACGCCCGGAAACGGGUGCUAAUACUGGAUAUUCACUGAUCUUCGCAUGGGGGUUGGUGGAAAGGUUUGUUCUGGUGGGGGAUGGGCUCGCGGCCUAUCAGCUUGUUGGUGGGGUGAUGGCCUACCAAGGCUUUGACGGGUAGCCGGCCUGAGAGGGUGACCGGUCACAUUGGGACUGAGAUACGGCCCAGACUCCUACGGGAGGCAGCAGUGGGGAAUAUUGCACAAUGGGCGGAAGCCUGAUGCAGCGACGCCGCGUGAGGGAUGGAGGCCUUCGGGUUGUAAACCUCUUUCGCUCAUGGUCAAGCCGCAACUGUGGGUUGUGGUGAGGGUAGUGGGUAAAGAAGCGCCCGCUAAUUACGUUCCUUCGCCCGCAGUAAAACGUAGGGCGUAAGCGUUUCUAGAAAUUAUUGGGUGGAAAAGGCUUUGCACGCGAUUUAAACACCCUCUCCCAGAACAUCUCGGGUUUU
rnacentral:rRNA from 1 species